AAUGUUUCUUUGUAUUUCUUCACACUGAUGAAAGAGCAAAGGAAGAAAGAACCUUCUUGGACAGGCUUAUAUGUUGGCAUUGGAGUUUGUUCAGUGUUACUAAUUGUUGUAACUUCGUUGCUACUGAAGUGGUAUUUACUCAAAAAGCAGAAGAUGACUAAUUCUGUAAGUCAGGUGGCCUUUUCAAACUCCGGAGGCAUGCAGCAGGUUCUGGAAGCUGGUGUCCAUGCACAGGAAAAUGUUUAUGAUUUCAACUGA
rnacentral:lncRNA from 1 species